rnacentral:rRNA from 1 species
GACGUAGGGCGCGAGCGUUGUCCGGAUUUAUUGGGCGUAAAGAGCUCGUAGGCGGCUUGUUGCGUCGACUGUGAAAACCCGCGGCUUAACUGCGGGCUUGCAGUUGAUACGGGCAGGCUAGAGUUCGGUAGGGGAGACUGGAAUUCCUGGUGUAGCGGUGAAAUGCGUAGAUAUCUGGAGGAACACCGGUGGCGAAGGCGGAUCUCUGGGCCUUACCUGGACGCUGAGGCUGCGAAAGCUAGGGGAGCGAACAGG